UGGGGAAUCUUGCGCAAUGGGCGAAAGCCUGACGCAGCCAUGCCGCGUGAAUGAUGAAGGUCUUAGGAUUGUAAAAUUCUUUCACCGGGGACGAUAAUGACGGUACCCGGAGAAGAAGCCCCGGCUAACUUCGUGCCAGCAGCCGCGGUAAUACGAAGGGGGCUAGCGUUGCUCGGAAUUACUGGGCGUAAAGGGAGCGUAGGCGGACAUUUAAGUCAGGGGUGAAAUCCCGGGGCUCAACCUCGGAAUUGCCUUUGAUACUGGGUGUCUUGAGUGUGAGAGAGGUAUGUGGAACUCCGAGUGUAGAGGUGAAAUUCGUAGAUAUUCGGAAGAACACCAGUGGCGAAGGCGACAUACUGGCUCAUUACUGACGCUGAGGCUCGAAAGCGUGGGGAGCAAACAGG
rnacentral:rRNA from 2 species